UACGUAGGGUGCGAGCGUUUAAUCGGAAUUACUGGGCGUAAAGCGUGCGCAGGCGGUUUUGCAAGACCGAUGUGAAAUCCCCGGGCUCAACCUGGGAACUGCAUUUGUGACUGCAUCGCUGGAGUGCGGCAGAGGGGGAUGGAAUUCCGCGUGUAGCAGUGAAAUGCGUAGAUAUGCGGAGGAACACCGAUGGCGAAGGCAAUCCCCUGGGCCUGCACUGACGCUCAUGCACGAAAGCGUGGGGAGCAAACAGG
rnacentral:rRNA from 1 species